rnacentral:rRNA from 1 species
AGAACGAACGCUGGCGGCAGGCCUCAAACAUGCAAGUCUAGGGGGUGUAGCAAUACAUCACCGGCGGACGGGUGCGUAACACGUGGGAAUAUACCUUUUGGUUCGGAACAACGCAGGGAAACUUGCGCUAAUACCGAAUGUGCCCUUACGGGGAAAGAUUUAUCGCCAAAGGAUUAGCCCGCGUAGGAUUAGCUAGUUGGUGAGGUAAUGGCUCACCAAGGCUCCGAUCCUUAGCUGUUCUGAGAGGAAGAUCAGCCACACUGGGACUGAGACACGGCCCAGACUCCUACGGGAGGCAGCAGUUGGGAAUCUUGGACAAUGGGGGAAACCCUGAUCCAGCCAUGCCGCGUGAGUGAUGAAGGCCUUCGGGUUGUAAAACUCUUUCGACGGGGACAUAAUGACGGUACCCGUAGAAGAAGCUCCGGCUAACUUCGCGCCAGCAGCCGC